rnacentral:rRNA from 1 species
GACGAACGCUGGCGGCGCGCCUAAUACAUGCAAGUAGAACGCUGAAGCGAGGAGCUUGCUCUUCUUGGAUGAGUUGCGAACGGGUGAGUAACGCGUAGGUAACCUGCCUUGUAGCGGGGGAUAACUAUUGGAAACGAUAGCUAAUACCGCAUAACAAUGGAUGACACAUGUCAUUUAUUUGAAAGGGGCAAUUGCUCCACUACAAGAUGGACCUGCGUUGUAUUAGCUAGUAGGUGAGGUAAUGGCGCACCUAGGCGACGAUACAUAGCCGACCUGAGAGGGUGGUCCGCCACACUGGGACUGAGACACGGCCCAGACUCCUACGGGAGGCAGCAGUAGGGAAUCUUCGGCAAUGGGGGCAACCCUGACCGAGCAACGCCGCGUGAGUGAAGAAGGUUUUCGGAUCGUAAAGCUCUGUUGUAAGUCAAGAACGGGUGUGAGAGUGGAAAGUUCACACUGUGACGGUAGCUUACCAGAAAGGGACGGCUAACUACGUG